CCUGUCCGCCGGCUGCCGAUUGGCUGCUGCGCUGGGCUCGCCCCCGCCGGGGUCCCUGUGCGCGCGGACUGCGGAGUUUUAAUUUGUGGCCGACCCCUGGGCUCACAGCCCCUUUGAUGCACCGCAGUGUGGCCCAAGGUCUAAAAACCCACCGAGCUCUCUGCAGGAGGGUUACCGUGGAUGGGAAUAUGAUCAGCAUAAUUGCAUAUGACUUAUGCAAGACCGAGCAUGGAGUUGGUGUGGCAGCCCUUGAGGACGACCACCUAUGAAUGUGCCUACCUUUUUAGACUUCUUUAUAAGUCUGGCUCUUAGGAUGCUGCCUUCCUUAUGUUGCUAAGUGCUGUGUAAACUAGUAGUUCCUUUGUCCCAAGAACUGCCAUUUCUCCUGCAAGAGCAUUGAAUGAAAAGGUCCAUAUUGAAUCCACGGUGCAGCCUUAAACGUCUGAGUAACGUGUACUUCAGAUCUUGCCAAAGCCCAGGUGACGGGCAAGGCCAUUCUCUGCAGCUCUGAAGCGUCCAUCCUGGGCCCAGCCUGGCCAGCGGCUUUCACCUCUGUAUCUGUUUUGCCUGCCUUUCUGCUGUGACACCAGCAGGUGUGUGAUUUACGUCUCAAUCACCCAUGAAGACUAACCCAUGCUAUCCAGCCCGCUGUAAGUCUACCCCUUUUCCUUUUGCUCAAGAAAACACUAGAACACUCAGGAGUGACUUUACUAUGGGGUGGAUCGGAUACUUUCCAAUGUACAAACCUUGGUAAUUUACUACUAGUUGACAAAUAGCAUUUGGCAUUCCUCACAGCAGUGACCCGUUCGGCCGCUCUGCCCUCACUGUGGCUACAGAGUCAGAGCCCUCGAGAAAGCAGGGUUCAUGGCAUGGGGUGUGGAGUUCACAGGAGUGCUCAUCCACCCAGAUGUUUCUACAGGUCCUUCUUGCUCACUCCCAACUAAGCCAAGCCAGGAUGCCUUCUGGCCUCAGUGUUCUCAUCUGUAAAAUGAGAGAGGCAACCAUUCCUACUUCAUCACUCUUGUAAUUAUUAAAUGAAAUUACCGGCACAAAGCAUUUAGCAUAGUGCCUGGAACAGAGUAAAUAAUCGAUAUAAAUUAGUUCCAUUGUUACCUAGAUGUUAUUUGCUUACCCUCCCCCCCAAAAAAAUGCCUUUGGUAAGUGAUUAUUUUAUUCCAAUAACUUUAAGUUCUAAAGGUUUUCAAGCUUUUUACCAGCAGGAUCCUCUUUAUUGCCAAACAAAAUCAUUACAAAAUGAGAAGUAUGAAACUUAAAGACCAUAGCUAAUAAAAACAACAGUGUAUGUCA
rnacentral:lncRNA from 1 species